UUCAAUUUCAUCAAAAACACCCUUACACUAUCAUUUCUCAUCCAAUAUACCCCUCCGUCAUGAUUCCGUUAAAUGGAGCCGUUAAGUAGCUGAUGUGGCAUGCCAACUUGGCACUGGUGGGGCCCACAUGGCAGGAAAAAUUUCAAAAUUCUAGACUAAAAUUUCAGAAUUUUUUUUUUAAUGACAAUUGCAGAAAAUUUGAAAUAACAAAUUUGAUUCCCUCUCUCUCUCUCUCCCCCCCACCCUCGGUUUCUCAGCAAUCUCAUCCUUAGAUCUGCUGAACCAACCAAUCUCACCACUCUGGUUUCUCCGUCGGCUGCUCCCAUACCAGAAACAAAGCUCUUCGUAAUAGUCUCACGCUCCAUACCCACUACUCUAGUCAUCAUUUCGUCUGUAGUGAAAGCCCCAAAUGGAUCGAAAACCGGCGACUCCGAUUAGCAAUCGGACUCGGAUUCAGAGUGGAUGCUAUCGCAAUCAGAAUCGGAAUCUUUGAGUUUGGGUAUUCUCUAGCGUCAUCGGGACUUCAUCGGCGUCGAUCUGGAUGUAAUCUAUGAGGAUUGAUUCUGGGUUUUUGCAAUUUUUAAUUUCCCAGAAUUGCAGAGAUGAGGGCUUGUCAUCAGAGGCCUUGAACGGUGCGAUCUGAUGAGGCUCCGAUUCCAUCCAUUCCGCUCCGAUCCGCGUACGUCAUCAUGUUUUUCUUCGACUGGUUCUACGGCGUGCUUGCUUCCCUCGGUCUGUGGCAGAAGGAGGCCAAGGUCUUGUUCCUCGAGCUCGAUAAUGCCGGCAAGACCUUGCUUCACAUGCUCAAAGAUGAGUUUGAAAGGUUCGAUUGAUUGGACAUCUUGAUCUCAACUUCUCAAGGGCUGUUCAUUAGUCUUCGAAAACACAAGAACCUACUCUCCAGCAACUAAGGUGUUAGCAGACUUAACAGAAAAAGAAAUAUGGCCUGUAGUUUCUGUAACAAUUCAAUUUUCACAGAUUGGUGUUAUACAUGUAGUACUUCUUACUUUAGCAUUGUCUACUUUAGUUUAGUUUCUCAUGGUUCAUGUAAUCUUGACUUCAGGUUGUUUAUGAAUACAAAUGGCUAUAGUCUCGCAGUGGAUAUAUGGAGCUUGGGAUGUACUAUUCUUCAAACGGCGAGUUCAAAACCCCCAUGGAGCCAGUAUGAAGGGGUGAGAAAUACCGUUCAGAACCUAUUCCUUUACAAAAUUUCUUUUCCAUUACUAGCAUAAUGAAAAUACAAAAUUCCUUUUUUACAAUGUAUAUUUCAUUAUUUUAUUUUGGAAUUGUCGUAGAACUCACAAGCUGUAGCUGUUACACAAGCUCUGGUAGCAUACUUAUUUUGAUUUAUAGUGUAACAAAUCCCACCUUCCAUGAGUGACUAGGAGCAGUUGACAUGUCUUUUUAGGAGCAACUCCAUGAAAAGGAGCAGGCCAUGCAUGCAGGAUUUGGAGAUGAAAUUACAAGAAAAAUAUAGAGAGCUGCAUCCUACCAAAUUAGAUAAUGAAGCAGUUAGUUAUAUGUUUAUGAAUUUUCUCUUGGUUGCUUUAGCUGAGCAAUUUCUAAGUUUUACCCACUUUCGUAAUUUAUAUAUAUAUGAGUUCAGAAGACAAAGGAAGUUGCAGAUGAAGUUUUGUUCAUGGCAAUCUUAUCAACUUUGAGUCACCAAUUAUGAUACUGUUGAACAUCUGUAGAAGAGUUCCUGCUACAACAUAUUUGAAUUCGACUAAAAUACUAUACCUUUUCCUCAAUAUUUCCUAUCCAUGUGUACGUUUCCUGUUUUCCUCCACAACUAAACUCCUACAACUUCCAACAAAAUCAACAUCUUGCAUACACACCAGUCAAUGAUCAUUUCCCUGUUCAAUACCAAACAUUAGGUUCUGUUUUCAGUGUUAUGUUCUUUCUUGGAAAAUUUGAUCUACAAUUGUAGUAAACUAUAGUAAGCUCUAACAUGCCUAAAUCAAAGUCUGAAAGAAAUGACCCUUGCUUAGAUCUAGACCAUUAGCUAUCAUGGAAUCUUCGUGCUUUAUCUCAAUGAUAUGUAGCUAUAAAUCACAUUGCCCCUUUGUUCUCAACUGGAAUAAAAAAAAAAAUUGCAAAUCUGCUUUGUGUUCUGGAACCAUUCCUUUACUCUUCUUUUCUGUCUGUUAGUUUUUAUUUUGUGAUGACUUACUACUGUUAUGACUUGCAGUGAACCAGUCACAGCCAACCCCAGAGCCAACCGUGGACAGCUCCGAAGAACUAAUGUAAAACUUUUGGUUAAGAUUACAAAUGUAAUAUAUUUUUCUUAAGACCAACUAUUUUUGUAACCAACAUAUAAAACACAAUGUUGGUUAGAAUAGCAAUUUUUCAAAAAAUGUAAAUAGAUAAGCUUGGUUAGCAUACCGGGUCUUGCUAAGAAUUUCAAUUUUUGGAAUAUGUAAAUAUAUUGUUCAAUUCAAGAAAAAAAAGAACCUGCGGCAUCGCGCGGGGGAAUGAUCUAGUUGAAUC